AAGUAGAGGCACGAUGCUGCGCCUCUGCGGGACCGAUCAUAGCUCCACUUGUGGAUUACAGCGUCAGUUGUAUAUUUGAACUUUCCUCCGGUGUUGUGUAUCUGGUGUAUGCAUUAUAUAGGAAUAAAAUUCCCAGAAAUUAAAUAUCACACUGAUUUCUGAAAGGGUUGGAAAUCACUUCCGAGAGAAAACAAUUGGAAAUU
rnacentral:lncRNA from 1 species